CUGGCGGCAGGCCUAACACAUGCAAGUCGAGCGCGAAAGCACUUCGGUGUGAGUAAAGCGGCGGACGGGUGAGUAACGCGUAGGAAUCUACCUAGUAGUGGGGGACAACUCGGGGAAACUCGAGCUAAUACCGCAUGCGCCCUACGGGGGAAAACGGGGGACCUUCGGGCCUCGUGCUAUUAGAUGAGCCUGCGUUGGAUUAGCUAGUUGGUGGGGUAAUGGCCUACCAAGGCGACGAUCCAUAGCUGGUCUGAGAGGAUGAUCAGCCACACCGGGACUGAGACACGGCCCGGACUCCUACGGGAGGCAGCAGUGGGGAAUAUUGCGCAAUGGGCGAAAGCCUGACGCAGCCAUGCCGCGUGUGUGAAGAAGGCCUUCGGGUUGUAAAGCACUUUCAAUUGGGAGGAAAGGUUCACGGCUAAUACCCGUGAGCUGUGACGUUACCUUAGAAGAAGCACCGGC
rnacentral:rRNA from 1 species